UCCGGUUUGUCACCGGCAGUCUCAUUAGAGUGCCCUUGCGUAGCAACUAAUGAUAAGGGUUGCGCUCGUUGCGGGACUUAACCCAACAUCUCACGACACGAGCUGACGACAGCCAUGCAGCACCUGUGUUCCGAUUCCCUUUCGGGCACAACCGGAUCUCUCCGGCCUCUCGGACAUGUCAAGGGUAGGUAAGGUUUUUCGCGUUGCAUCGAAUUAAUCCACAUAAUCCACCGCUUGUGCGGGUCCCCGUCAAUUCCUUUGAGUUUUAACCUUGCGGCCGUACUCCCCAGGCGGUCGACUUCACGCGUUAGCUUCGUCACAAAAGGGGUCGAUUCCUUUUACAGCAAAUGCGCACCGUUUACGGCUAGGACUAC
rnacentral:misc_RNA from 1 species